GCAGUCGAGAGGGCGAUGGUUCGUCAGAAUGAAGCGAUGGCUCGUCAGAAUGAAGCGAUGACUCGUCAGAAUGAAGCGAUGACUCGUCAAAUGACGUUUUUCCAACAGUACAACACAACAAUACUCGCUCAGAAUCCUAACUUGCGCUUACCAUAAUUUCCCCCAAUCUUCAACGACACUACAGCGCAACCCGCAGGAGGGUUCAACAUAAAUUCUUCUGGAGCGUCGACUUCUAGAGCACCGCAAGUACAACUGCAGGAAACUCCGCCUGUUCAACAAACAAUGCCACAAGAGGAGUACACUAUUUCACCACCGCGCGGAGGAAGACCGAUUAUCUUCUCACAAUUGGCAUUAUGAAAGACGGUCGCGUCUAAAAAAAAGAAGAAAAACACAAAAUAGAAAAUAGAAUAGUAAUUACCGAAUUUAAUAUAUGUCGUACUUUCAUUAUCGAACAUCAAUUUCAAUUUCAUUUCAUUAUUUAAAUAAAAUAAUUAUUUUUUUCAAAAAAUAAUUUUUUCACGGGGAAAUUUUUUUUUCUGCCGGAAAAUAUUGACCAGCGCCUUGGCCGUCAGGGAUUUUUUUUCCCAAUUUUACACUACCAACGGUCAGGCCGCUGGCAAAUUUUUACAAAAAAAUAUUUGCCGGUGGCUAAGCCGUCGGGAUAUAAUUUCAAAAAAAUAUGUGCAAGCGGUCAAGCCGCCGGUACUAUUUCCGUUAAAAUCGGAAUCCACAAUUUACUGCCGGCGGCCUGACUGCCGGUAUAUUACAAAACUGACGACGUUAGUUUCGGCGGUGGAAUACCGUCGGCUUGGCCGUCAGGACGCAUUUUAGGCUGCCGGCAUUUGCAGCCAGAAUAACGCUGGUUUUUUGUAGUGAAUUUUGUUUUAGAUAAUUAAAAAUAAGGUAAUUAUAUAGUAGUUAUAAUAAAUGUACUAUAAAAGCAAGUCAAUGAUAAUCAAUCAAAUAAUACUUCAUUCCAUCAAGUCUUAAUCACUAUGGUUCACAACGUCGAUCGCUCACUUGGAUAUCGAAUUUCAUUGAAAUUUUCAGCCAUCAACAAGUCGUUCCCGUCAGAGACGAGAUGCAAGGAUCUUAUUGUGGACCAUAGUGGUCUGCGCUUAGUCAUUGAUCGUUCGUCGUGUACCACAGUAAAAUUUAGAGAGUAACCUUCAGUGUUUGUUAAUCUUAAAUGGAUAUAUUGUCGCUCCCCUCUUCAUCCAGCCGACCCAGAUUGAUUCACAAGCAUCAUCCUCCGCAGUAAAACGUAAUAAAAUAUAUUUACGAAGAUAUUUUUGCAAAUGUUCCAAAAAAAGGGUUUGGUAUUUCAGAUCGCGUGGUUAAUCUUGUUAAAACUAAGAUUAAUUAUUUGCAAGUAAUCAAGGCAUGGGCGUGCACAAUGAAGGGAGGUCCUCGGGAGGCAGUCACAACCAGAGGAUUUAGAGAUAGUUAGAUAAUCAAGUUGUUAAUCAAUGUAAUUUAGCUAAUCUCCUUUAAUUUAAUUGCCCCUAAACAUUGUAAUAUUGGGCCAACCUUGCCCGACACUCAAGGUCCAAAGGACCCAACAAAUGAGUUAAUAUAAAAGGGUCACCUUCUCACUGUUUUCCUAAACCCUCAUUUUCUUUUCUCGCCUCCUGUAAUCCCUCUUCUCUGUUACUCUCCAGCACGCUCCGACGUGCUUUGCUCCUAAUCGGAUCAUUAAUCUUUUCAUGGUAUCAGAGCCAGCGUUCCUGUCUCGUGCAUAAGGAUGGAGAACGAAGGCAAAAACCUGGUGUCGACGGACUUGAAGAACAAUGAUCUUGUGUCUCCAAACCAAGAUCGGAAGAGCAUAUAUUACGUGCAUGCCUCCGAUGCUCUUGGUUCCUGCUUGGUGACGAAGAAACUCAUCAGGGAGGCUAACUUCUACCAGUGGCAGUGCGCAAUGAAAGUCACACUAGUGUCGUGGCAGAAGUUAGGUUUUGCUACUGGUGAUAUCGUCAAACUUGCGCUGGAAUCAAAAGACAGGGAAGCUUGGGAGACAAGCAAUGGGCUCGUGCUGUCGUGGUUGUUCAAUGCCGUCGAACCAGAGAUCGUGACCACCCUGUUGUACACGAACUUAGCGGCUACGGCUUGGAAGGACUUGGAAGACCGCUACAAGAUAGCAAAUAAACCCCAGAUCUUCCAGAUGAAGUACGAUAUCAGCACGAUGGCACAAGGUGAGGACAAUGUGUGUGUGUAUUUUCAGAAACUCAAGAGCUUGUGGGAUCAGCUCGAUUCUUGCAUCAAGAAACUCGUGUGCAUGUGUGGGAAGUGCACCUGUGACAUGCUCAAACAGUUCUUGGAGUUGGAGGCAGAGGAUCGCGUAUUGCAGUUUCUACUGGGCUUGAGAGAGGGCUUCAUGCCAAUAAGGGAACAAAUACUCUCCUCAAACGAGGGGUUGCCAAGCCUCAACAAGAUUUUUUUCUUUGGUCCAACAGGAUGAGAAGCAUCGCAAUUUCCACAAAAGAAAGAACUCUGAGGUAAAUACUUGUUAUGUGCAGCAAUCUGAGAGCUUUAAGAAGUCCCAUCAAGUGAAGUAUGAUAGACCCCCCAAUCGACCUUAUAGUGACUUCGGCAGGAAUGGGAAAAAAUUAAAUGUAGAUUUGUGGUGUGACCACUGUGAGUGGCAUGGUCACACCAAAGACAUCUGCUAUAAAUUGGUAGGCUACCUGAAGAACAAAGGGUAGGACAAAGGCAAAACUCUUGUUAACUCUGUGUAGGUCGCAAAUGGCUCUACUGUCUCAACUGCAAACAAUAAUGGUUUUACUGUGGAGCAAAUCAAACCAAUACAAGAAAUGAUCGGUAAACCUGCUUCAACUUCAGGUAAAAUAAAAUACCAUAUCAAUUUAUACUACAAUACUUUAAAUUUUGAUAACAUGAUAAAUUAUAAAAAUGAUUGGUUACUUGAUAGCGGAGCUUCAGCUCACAUGACAGGGAAUAGGAAAUUCUUCGUUUCCUUAAAGAAAACUGAUAAAGUAAUCAAGGCAAAAUUAUCAAAUGGGGUAUUAAAAAAUAUCGAUCAGAUUGGAGAUAUUUUAAUAAAUAAGUUGUUUUUACUUAAAGAUGUGUAUUUUGUGCAGGGUUUUACUGUCAAUUUGAUUUCAAUAGCUCAAUUGACUCAAUCUAAGAAUUAUCAAGUCAUUUUUGAUAACAAGAAGUGUUGUGUGAUCAAGGAAAGGAAUUCGAAAACAGUGAUUGGGCAGGGUGAAGAAAAGAAUGGUGUCUAUGUUUUUUGGCAGAAGAAUGUCAUGGUCAAUUCAGUAACUCUAGACUUAUGGCAUAGUCGAAUGGGGCAUGCACCAAAGGAGAGGCUCCUAAGUUUUUUGAGUAAUUUUAAUUACAAAACUAUUUUAAACAUUUCAGAUUGUGUGUUUUGUUGUAUUGCUAAACAAAAAAGGUUGUCAUUUAGUUUAAAUACUAAUCCAGCAAUGCAUGUAUUAGAUAGCAUACACAUGGAUGUUUGGGGGGCUUUCUCCACACCCACAAUCAAUGGUUAAAGAUAUUUCUUGACCAUAGUAGACGAGUUUUCAAAAAACACCCUUAUGACAAACAAGUCAUAAACACAAAGAAUUAUUACACAAUUCUUAAAUUUCAUAAAGAAUCAAUUUAAUAUUACACCAAAAGUAAUAAAAAUUGAUAAUGGAAAAAAAUUUGUAAAUGAAACAAUAAAAAAUAUUUUUUCUUCAAAAGGAAUAACCGAAUAAUACACCAGUUGACUUGCUCAUACACACCCCAACAAAAUGGGGUGGUAGAGCACAAACAUCAACACUUGCUACAAAUAGCAAAAGCAAUAAGAUUUCAAUCAAAGGUACCCAUAGAAUUUUGGGGACAUUGUAUAAUGCGUGCAGCAUAUAUAAUAAAUCGACUUCCAUUAAGAAGAAUAAAAAACAAGACACCAUAUGAAAUUUUACAUGGUAAAACACCAUCAUAUGAGAGCAUUAAAGUGUUUGGAUGUAAAACAUUCUAUUAUAAUAACACUCAAAUCAACAAAUUCAAUCAAAAAGCAAAAAUGGGAGUUAUAAUAUUAAAGGCUACAUUAUAUAUGACAUAGAGAUGAAUAAGUUUAUUGUAACAAGAAAUGUGAAAUUUAUAAAGAAUGAAUUUCUAUUCCUCGGUUUUAAGAAAGAUUCAAAAAUAAAUUCUUUCUUAACACCAUUUCAAAACAAUAAUGAAGAUGGUGGCCAAGAUUUCAGAAUUUUGGGGGAGAAUUUACAAAAUACCUCACAAAGUUCUGAAAAUCGAGAAAAUUCAGAAAUAAAUAAGUUGAGAAUCCAAUCAACACUGAAAAUAGUUUUGAGAUCUUGAAUUAAGAAGAGAAUACACAAGAGAAUGAAUUAAUCACCUUAGUGGAUAAUAAUAUACCAACAGAAAAUACACAAAGAAGGGAAAAUCCUAAAAGGAGAUGUGGAUCACAUCCCAAAUACAAGGAUUACAUAUGUUAUCCGUUAUCAAUGAGUGUAACACAAAAUAUUCUAUUCAAUCUAGGUUUGACUAUAAAAAAUUUACACCAGAUUUUUAACAAUGUGUCAAGAAAAUAGAGAAUGACUCUGAGCCCAAGAAUUACAAAGAGGCAUUGACACAUGACAAAUGGAAGGAUGCAACGAGUGAAGAGUUAAUUGCUCUAAGCAAAAACAAAACAUGGGAUUUGGUGCCUCUACCACAACAUAGAAAGCCCAUAUGAUCAAAAUGAGUAUAUAAAAUCAAAUAUAAGAGUAAUGGGACAAUAGAAAGAUACAAAACACGAUUAAUUAGUAGCAAGAGGUUUUUCACAGAUAGAAGGAAUUGACUAUAAUGAGACUUUUGCACCAGUUGCAAAAUUAGUAACAGUGAAGGCAAUGAUAGUAAUUGCAUCUGCCAAAAAUUGGCAACUACACCAGAUGGAUGUGCAUAAUGCAUUUCUUCAGGGGGAUUUGGAAGAAGAAAUUUACAUGAAACCACCUCAAGGGAUGGUCAAACCAAAUGAUAUAUGUGUAUGUAAAUUAAAGAAAUCCAUCUAUGGAUUAAAGCAGACAUCACGAAAUUGGUUUUCAAAGUUAAGAACCAGAUUGAUUGAAAUGGGAUUCAUUCAAUCAUUGGUUGAUUAUUCAUUGUUCACACAUACUAGUAAAAAAUGGGUUACCCAUUUGGUGAUGUAUGUGGAUGACAUCAUAAUCACGAGAAAUAAUAAUGAGGUCAUAACGACUCUUAAGAAAAAAAUUGCAGGAAGUAUUUCACACCAAGGAUCUGGGAAAACUUAGAUUUUCUUGGGAUUGGAGGUACUAUAUUUGCCGCAAGGAAUACAUUUAAGUCAAAAAAAAUAUGUGUUAGACACUCUAAAAGAAUAUGGAUUACUGGGAUGUAAACCAUCUCCAAUUCCAAUGGACAGAGUGUCACAUGUAGAUGGUAAGGAAUCAGAGAUAAUUAAUGAAAGAUCCAACCAACACCAUACAGAAGGCUGGUGGGAAAGUUGAUAUAUUUACUGAUCACCAGAGUGGAUAUUACACAUUCAGUUACAAGCUUGAGUCAACAUAUGCAAAAACCAAAACAGUCACGUAUGGAUGCAGCGCUAAAUGUGUUGAGAUACUUGAAAGGAACACCUGGUAAGGGAUUAAUGUACAAACACAAUAAUGAAAUCAAAAUUAUUGCCCAUUGUGAUGCAGAUUGGGCAGCUUGUCCAAAAACAAGGAGAUCAAUAAAAGGAUAUUGUGUUUCGCUUGGAACUUCAUUGAUAUCAUGGAAGUCCAAGAAACAACCAAUAGUGUCUAGAUCAUCUGCUAAAGCAGAGUACAGAUCUAUGACACAUGCGACAGCAGAGGUAACAUUCAUCCAAUAUCUAUUACAUGAAUUCAAGAUAAGCAUGACUGACAAAGCUAUGUUGUAUUGUGACAAUGUUUCAGCUAUACAUAUAGCUAAUAACCCCAUAUUCCAUGAAGGGACAAAAUACAUAGAAAUUGAUUGUCAUUUCACUAGGAGAGGAUUCAAUCCAGUACAAUGCAAUUGGCCUAUAUAGGAACAAGUAAUCAAACAGCAGAUCUAUUGACAAAACCACUAGGAGAAAAGGAAAUAAUUAAGUUUCUUAUCAAGUUGAAUGUCUUAGAUCCAUACUCUCCAACUUGAGGGAGAGUGUUAAAACUAAGAUUAAUUAUUUGCAGGUAAUCAAGGCAUGGGUGUGCACAAUGAAGGGAGGUCCUCAGGAGACAGUCACAACCCAGAGGAUUUAGAGCUAGUUAGAUAAUUAAAUUGUUAAUCAAUGUAAUUUAGCUAAUCUCCCUUAAUUUAAUUGCACCGACACUUAAGGACCAAAUGACCCAACAAAUGAGUUAAUAUAAAAGGGGCUUUUAAAUCCCUAGACGCCUUACCUUCUCACUAUUUUCUUAAACUCUCAUUUUCUUAUCUUGCCUCCUCGCAUCCCUCUUCUCUGUUACUCUCCAGCUGGGGCGUGCUUUGCUUCUAAUCGGAUUUAAUCUUUUCAAAUCUAGUUACAGAGUCC
rnacentral:lncRNA from 1 species